AUUGAUUACUAGGGCUUUCGGAGAAUUGUGAAGAUCCAUACCCAUAGGUCGAACGUGAAUCGUCGGUUAAUAGAGCCACCUACUACAGGAGAGGCUAGGGAUCGUGGCAAGGGAGUCGCGUCUAGCUAGAUAUAGCUUGGAGCUUGACUAGAUGAUCAUCUUGCUACUCGGGCUACGACCGAGGGUUAUGUACCCGUGUACAGAAAAACUACCAUUGUACAUAUAUUUUGAGUGACCUUGUGAUGUAUUUACGGUUUGUACCUGGGAUGACAGUUUUGGUGUUUCUCUGUGGAAUAGAAGAAUUCGGGACUGUACAGACU